GUGCCCAUGUCGACAGCACAUAUACUAAAAUUGGAAGAUACAGAGAUUAGCAUGGCCCCUGCGGAAGGAUGACACGCAAAUUUGUGAAGCGUUCCAUAUUUUU
ensembl:snRNA U6 U6 spliceosomal RNA